rnacentral:rRNA from 1 species
GACGAACGCUGGCGGCGUGCUUAACACAUGCAAGUCGAACGGAAAGGCCCUGCUUUUGUGGGGUGCUCGAGUGGCGAACGAGUGAGUAGCACGUGAGUAACCUGCCCUUGACUUUGGGAUAACUUCAGGAAACUGGGGCUAAUACCGGAUAGGAGCUCCUGCUGCAUGGUGGGGGUUGGAAAGUUUCGGCGGUUGGGGAUGGACUCGCGGCUUAUCAGCUUGUUGGUGGGGUAGUGGCUUACCAAGGCUUUGACGGGUAGCCGGCCUGAGAGGGUGACCGGCCACAUUGGGACUGAGAUACGGCCCAGACUCCUACUGGAGGCAGCAGUGGGGAAUAUUGCACAAUGGGCGGAAGCCUGAUGCAGCAACGCCGCGUGCGGGAUGACGGCCUUCGGGUUGUAAACCGCUUUCGCCUGUGACGAAGCGUGAGUGACGGUAAUGGGUAAAGAAGCACCGGCUAACUACGUG